UUUAGGUCCAGUGUAAUUCAACAGACAGCUAGACAGGUUUAGGUCCAGUGUAAUUCAACAGACAGCUAGACAGGUUUAGGUCCAGUGUAAUUCAACAGACAGCUAGACAGGUUUAGGUCCAGUGUAAUUCAACAGACAGCUAGACAGGUUUAGGUCCAGUGUAAUUCAACACACAGCUAGACAGGUUUUGGUCCAGUGUAAUUCAACAGACAGCUAGACAGGUUUAGGUCCAGUGUAAUUCAACAGACAGCUAGACAGGUUUUGGUCCAGUGUAAUUCAACACACAGCUAGACAGGUUUUGGUCUAGUGUAAUUCAACAGACAGCUAGACAGGUUUUGGUCUAGUGUAAUGACAUUAACUAAAUAAAACAUGUCUUCACAAUACAAUGUUUAUAAUACAUCCAGCAUAUUGAUUAUUACUUUUUCUACACCAAUGACAUAAGAUUUGACUAAUUACCAGACAGUCCCCACAACCUAGUUGAUACUGACCUUAACCCAACACCUAGCAACCUCAUAACCUGGUCUAUACUGAGUUUAUACUGUAGUGACCUUAACCCAACACCUAGCAACCUCAUAACCUGGUCUAUACUGAGUUUAUACUGUAGUGACCUUAACCCAACACCUAGCAAUUUCAUAACCUGGUCUAUACUGAGUUUAUACUGUAGUGACCUUAACCCAACACCUAGCAACCUCAUAACCUGGUCUAUACUGAGUUUAUACUGUAGUGACCUUAACCCAACACCUAGCAACCUCAUAACCUGGUCUAUACUGAAGUGACCUUAACCCAACACCUAGCAACCUCAUAACCUGGUCUAUACUGAGUUUAUACUGUAGUGACCUUAACCCAACACCUAGCAACCUCAUAACCUGGUCUAUACUGAGUUUAUACUGUAGUGGCCUUAACCCAACACCUAGCAACCUCAUAACCUGGUCUAUACUGAGUUAAUACUGUAGUGACCUUAACCCAACACCUAGCAACCUCAUAACCUGGUCUAUACUGAGUUAAUACUGUAGUUACCUUAACCCAACACCUAGCAACUUCAUAACCUGGUCUAUACUGAAGUGACCUUAACCCAACACCUAGCAACCUCAUAACCUGGUCUAUACUGAGUUUAUACUGUAGUGACCUUAACCCAACACCUAGCAACCUCAUAACCUGGUCUAU
rnacentral:lncRNA from 1 species